rnacentral:rRNA from 1 species
GAUGAACGCUGGCGGCGUGCCUAAUACAUGCAAGUCGAGCGAACAGACGAGGAGCUUGCUCCUCUGACGUUAGCGGCGGACGGGUGAGUAACACGUGGAUAACCUACCUAUAAGACUGGGAUAACUUCGGGAAACCGGAGCUAAUACCGGAGAAUAUAUUGAACCGCAUGGUUCAAUAGUGAAAGACGGUUUUGCUGUCACUUAUAGAGGGAUCCGCGCCGCAUUAGCUAGUUGGUAAGGUAACGGCUUACCAAGGCAACGAUGCGUAGCCGAGCUGAGAGGGUGAUCGGCCACACUGGAACUGAGACACGGUCCAGACUCCUACGGGAGGCAGCAGUAGGGAAUCUUCCGCAAUGGGCGAAAGCUUGACGGAGCAACGCCGCGUGAGUGAUGAAGGUCUUCGGAUCGUAAAACUCUGUUAUUAGGGAAGAACAAAUGUGUAAGUAACUAUGCACGUCUUGACGGUACCUAAUCAGAAAGCCACGGCUAACUACGUG